CCUACGGGUGGCUGCAGUGGGGAAUAUUGGGCAAUGGGCGCAAGCCUGACCCAGCAACGCCGCGUGAAGGAAGAAGGCUCUCGGGUUGUAAACUUCUUUUAUCAGGGACGAAGCAAGUGACGGUACCUGAUGAAUAAGCCACGGCUCACUACGUGCCAGCAGCCGCGGUAAUACGUAGGUGGCAAGCAUUAUCCGGAUUUACUGGGUGUAAAGUGCGUGUAGGCGGGAAAGAAAGUCAGAUGUGAAAACCAUGGGCUCAACCUGUGGCCUGCAUUUGAUACUGUUUUUCUUGAGUGCUGGAGAGGCAGACGGAAUUCCUAGUGUAGCGGUGAAAUGCGUAGAUAUUAGGAGGAACACCAGUGGCGAAGGCGGUCUGCUGGACAGCAACUGACGCUGAGGCGCGAAAGCGUGGGGAGCAAACAGGAUUAGAUACCCGGGUAGUC
rnacentral:rRNA from 1 species